CGGUGUUCAACUGGCGUGUCCGCGGGACGUCCUGCCGGUGGGCUUAGCCCGCAAGGGCGGCCCAACUUCAAAUCCCAUCGCGGUGCUCUUCACUGAGUGUCGAGGUGGGCCGGCACGUUUACUUUGAACAAAUUAGAGUGCUUAAAGCAGGCUAAAACUUCGCCUGAAUACUGUGUGCAUGGAAUAAUGGAAUAGGACCUCGGUUCUAUUUUGUUGGUUUUCGGAACCCCGAGGUAAUGAUUAAUAGGAACGGAUGGGGGCAUUCGUAUUGCGACGUUAGAGGUGAAAUUCUUGGAUCGUCGCAAGACGGACAGAAGCGAAAGCAUUUGCCAAAAACGCUUUCAUUGAUCAAGAACGAAAGUUAGAGGUUCGAAGGCGAUCAGAUACCGCCCUAGUUCUAACCAUAAACGAUGCCAGCUAGCGAUCCGUCGACGUUCCUCUGAUGACUCGACGGGCAGCUUCCGGGAAACCAAAGCUUUUGGGUUCCGGGGGAAGUAUGGUUGCAAAGCUGAAACUUAAAGGAAUUGACGGAAGGGCACCACCAGGAGUGGAGCUUGCGGCUUAAUUUGACUCAACACGGGAAACCUCACCAGGCCCGGACACCGGAAGGAUUGACAGAUUGAGAGCUCUUUCUUGAUUCGGUGGGUGGUGGUGCAUGGCCGUUCUUAGUUGGUGGAGCGAUUUGUCUGGUUAAUUCCGAUAACGAACGAGACUCUAGCCUGCUAACUAGGCGUAUUUUCGACAUCUCAAAGGUCCGUCGUCCCAGCCCUCGGGUCGUGGGCGUGCGCGAUUUUUACUGUCGGCGUACUAUCAAUUCUUCUUAGAGGGACAGGUGGCUUCUAGCCGCACGAGAUUGAGCAAUAACAGGUCUGUGAUG
rnacentral:rRNA from 1 species